AUUUAGUUAGUCUACAUAGGAUAAAAGUUUGUGGGGCUUUAGGAACGAUAAGAAUGUACUAGAUC
rnacentral:tRNA from 1 species